rnacentral:rRNA from 1 species
CCUACGGGGGGCUGCAGUGGGGAAUAUUGGACAAUGGGGGCAACCCUGAUCCAGCCAUGCCGCGUGAAUGAUGAAGGCCUUCGGGUUGUAAAGUUCUUUUGGGUGGGACGAUGAUGACGGUACCACCAGAAUAAGCUCCGGCUAACUUCGUGCCAGCAGCCGCGGUAAUACGAAGGGAGCUAGCGUUGUUCGGAAUUACUGGGCGUAAAGGGUGCGUAGGCGGUUUAACAAGUCAGGUGUGAAAGCCCCGAGCUCAACUCGGGAACUGCGCUUGAGACUGUUAGGCUUGAAUUCGGAAGAGGUGAGUGGAAUUCCCAGUGUAGAGGUGAAAUUCGUAGAUAUUGGGAAGAACACCGGUGGCGAAGGCGGCUCACUGGUCCGACAUUGACGCUGAGGCACGAAAGCGUGGGGAGCAAACAGGAUUAGAUACCCCAGUAGUC